UGGGGAAUAUUGCACAAUGGGCGCAAGCCUGAUGCAGCCAUGCCGCGUGUGUGAAGAAGGCCUUCGGGUUGUAAAGCACUUUCAGCGAGGAGGAAGGUGGUGAACUUAAUACGUUCAUCAAUUGACGUUACUCGCAGAAGAAGCACCGGCUAACUCCGUGCCAGCAGCCGCGGUAAUACGGAGGGUGCAAGCGUUAAUCGGAAUUACUGGGCGUAAAGCGCACGCAGGCGGUUUGUUAAGUCAGAUGUGAAAUCCCCCGGGCUCAACCUGGGAACUGCAUUUGAAACUGGCAAGCUAGAGUCUCGUAGAGGGGGGUAGAAUUCCAGGUGUAGCGGUGAAAUGCGUAGAGAUCUGGAGGAAUACCGGUGGCGAAGGCGGCCCCCUGGACGAAGACUGACGCUCAGGUGCGAAAGCGUGGGGAGCAAAACAGGAUUAGAUACCCUGGUAGUCCACGCUGUAAACGAUGUCGAUUUGGAGGUUGUGCCCUUGAGGCGUGGCUUCCGGAGCUAACGCGUUAAAUCGACCGCCUGGGGAGUACGGCCGCAAGGUUAAAACUUAAAGGAAUUGACGGGGUCAUAGCUGUUUCCU
rnacentral:rRNA from 1 species